rnacentral:rRNA from 1 species
UUAGAGUUUGAUCCUGGCUCAGGAUGAACUUUAGCGGGAGGCUUAACACAUGCAAGUCGAGGGGGAUUUUGUUUCGCGGAGUAUGAUGGGCACCGGGGUAAGGGUGCCUUAUGCGUGCUGCCCUUGCCCUGUAAAUGGACAUACAGAAAUCGAAACUUGUGCUCCUUUCCCCUAGAAUUCCUUGUGGGCAUCUUUGAUGAGCUCCGCUUCUGAGGAUGGGAUUGCGCUCACUUGACGUCUUCCGGAUGGUGAGGUCACCGCUCCCCACAAUGUGAUGUGUUCGGAUAUGAUGAUCACCGCCCCUCGCACUGGGACUGAGACACGGCCCAGACUCCUACGGGAGGCAGCAGUGAGGAAUAUUGGUCAAUGGAUGCAAGUCUGAUCCAGCCAUCCCGCGUGCAGGAAGACGGCCUUAUGGGUUGUAAAUUGCUUUUUUCGAGGAGCAAUAAGGGUUAUGUAUUGUGUGUAUGAGAUUCCUGUAUGAAUAAGCAUCGGCUAACUCCGUGCCAGCAGCCGCGGUAAUACGGAGGAUCCGAGCGUUAUCCGGAUUUAUUGGGUUUUAAAGGGUGCGUAGGCGGCCAUUUAAGUCAGCGGUGAAAUUUUGCGGCUUAACUGUAACAGUGCCGUUGAUACUGUUUGGCUAGGAUUUGGUUGUAGUGUGCGGAAUGAGUGGUGUAGCGGUGAAAUGCUUAGAUAUCACUCAGAACACCGAUUGCGAAGGCAGCCCACUAAGUCAUUAUUGACGCUGAGGCACGAAAGUGUGGGGAUCGAACAGGAUUAGAUACCCUGGUAGUUCCCCCCGGAAACGGAGAUUCCUUGCCGUUGGGGAAUCUCAGUCGGGGGGCCAGGGGAAACCAUAAGGUAUCCCCCUGGGGGGUACGGCUGCCAGGGUGGAAAUUCAAAGAAAUGGCGGGGGGCCGCCCCAACGGGGGGACCAGUUGUUUUAUUUGGAGGUUCCGGGGGAACCUUUCCCCGGCUUGAAAGGUAGCGAUGACUAUUAGAGGAGACGCUAUAUGUCCUUCGGGGCACGUAUCGAGGUGCUGCAUGGUUGUCGUCAGCUCGUGCCGUGAGGUGUCGGGUUAAGUCCCAUAACGAGCGCAACCCUUGUCAUUAGUUGCCAUCGGGUCAAGCCGGGGACUCUAAUGAGACUGCCACCGUAAGGUGAGAGGAAGGGGGGGAUGACGUCAAAUCAGCACGGCCCUUAUGUCCGGGGCGACACACGUGUUACAAUGGGAGGUACAGAGGGCAGCUAUCCCGCGAGGGGAUGCCAAUCUCCAAAACCUUUCUCAGUUCGGAUUGCAGUCUGCAACUCGACUCCAUGAAGGUGGAUUCGCUAGUAAUCGCGCAUCAGCCAUGGCGCGGUGAAUACGUUCCCGGGCCUUGCACACACCGCCCGUCAAG